AUGGCUCUCUUUCGCAGCAUAUAUACUAAAAUUGGAAUGAUACAGAGAUUAGCAUGGCCCCUGUGCAGAAAUAUAGGUCCCAUGGUUCCCCUCAUUU
rnacentral:snRNA from 1 species